CAAUUUAGGGCUCCCAUCCCAGGCCAAUAUUAAUUGAGGGGGAAAGUGAGAUGAGGAAGAAUCCACUGACCCCAAACAGGCCUGGGGUGUUCAUGCAAAUGAAGCCUCCGUUUUCUCGCUCUUCUCGUCUCUCUCCGCUUCUCCUCACCUUAUUAGCUUUCAUCCUCUUCGUCUCCGUCCUCUAUGCCCACAAUCUCCUCUUCAUCUCUCGUCAACAUCCUCAUCCCUCCGGCGAGUCCCACCACUUCAAUUCAAGCCCCGAUGUUCAUCAUUCUUCUCAUAUACCAGAAAGGGUUAUAAGGCGGCGGCAGGAAGCAGUGCCGUUCGCCGUCGGGAGAACGCAGGAGGGGUGCGAUGUGUUCAGUGGGAGUUGGGUGCGGGACGAGGCGGCGAGGCCGCUGUACGAGGAAUCCGAGUGUCCGUACAUACAGCCACAGCUGACGUGUCAGGAGCAUGGGCGGCCGGAGAAGGAGUACCAGCACUGGAGAUGGCAGCCCGAGGGUUGCGAUCUUCCCAAAUUCAAUGCGAGCUUGAUGCUGGAAACACUCCGAGGGAAGAGGAUGAUGUUCGUGGGAGACUCCCUGAAUCGUGGUCAGUAUGUCUCCAUGGUCUGUCUCCUGCAUCGCCUCAUUCCUCCAGAAGCCAAAUCCAUGGAAACCUUCGGUUCCCUCACCGUCUUCACCGCCAAGAACUACAACGCCACCAUCGAGUUCUACUGGGCGCCGUUUCUGCUGGAGUCCAACUCUGACGAUGCCGUCGUCCACAGGAUAACCGACAGGAUCGUCAGAAAGGGCUCCAUCAACAAGCACGGGAGGAAUUGGAAAGGCGCUGAUAUCAUAGUAUUCAACACCUACCUCUGGUGGAUGACCGGCUCCAAGAUGAAGAUCCUGCUCGGAUCUUUUGAUGACAAAGUGAAAGACAUAGCACGCAUGUCAACCGAUGAUGCUUAUCGCAUGGCCAUGAAGAGUAUGCUCAAAUGGGUGAAGCAGAACAUGGACCCUAACAACACAAGAGUCUUCUUCACCAGCAUGUCUCCUUCUCACACAAAGAGCGUAGAGUGGGGAGGGAGAGCGGAAGGGAACUGCUACAAUGAAACGAGACCGAUCGAGGAUUGGACGUACGAUUGGGGAGGGGAGGCAGAGAGGGGCAUAAUGAGAGUGAUAGGACAAGUGUUUGGGAAAUCCAAAGUGCCCAUUACGUUCCUCAACAUCACGCGGCUCUCAGGCUAUCGCAAAGAUGCGCACACUGCUAUCUACAAGAAACAAUGGAACCCUUUGACUCCUCAGCAGUUAGCUAACCCAGCUUCCUACGCUGAUUGUGUUCACUGGUGCUUGCCUGGCCUCCAAGACACUUGGAAUGAGCUUCUCUUUGCCAAGCUCUUUUACCCUUAAAAUUCAAUUCUAUAUUCUUUCUUAAUUGAUGCCACCGUGUGUCCACAGAAUGAAAGAGAGGGAUAAUGUAUAGGGAGGAUGACACCCAAGUGCCGAAAGAGCAAAUUAAUCACGAUUAGGUUCUCGGUGAAAUUUUUUGAAAAAUCAGUUGCGAAUAUUAAUUCAAAUGACUGCAGAUUUAAGAAUUCUAAUUGCAAA